GACGAACCGUGCGAACGUUGUUCGGAUUCACUGGGCUUAAAGGGCGCGUAGGCGGGUGGUCAAGUCAGGGGUGAAAGCCCACGGCCCAACCGUGGAAGUGCCUCUGAUACUGACUGUCUUGAGGGAGGUAGGGGCAUGCGGAACUUCCGGUGGAGCGGUGAAAUGCGUAGAUAUCGGAAGGAACGCCGGUGGCGAAAGCGGCGUGCUGGACCUCUUCUGACGCUGAGGCGCGAAAGCCAGGGGAGCGAGCGGG
rnacentral:rRNA from 1 species